GACGAACGCUGGCGGCGCGCCUAACACAUGCAAGUCGAACGGAGCUGAGAGAAGCUUGCCUUUCUUAGCUUAGUGGCGAACGGGUGAGUAACGCGUGAGUAACCUGCCCUGGAGUGGGGGACAACAGUUGGAAACGACUGCUCAUACCGCAUAAGCGCACGAUCCGGCAUCGGAUUGAGGGAAAAGGAUUUAUUCGCUUCAGGAUGGAGUUGCGUCCAAUUAGCUAGUUGGGGAGGUAACGGCCCACCAAGGGGACGAUUGGUAGCCGGACUGAGAGGCUGGGCGGCCACAUUGGGACUGGGACGCGGCCCAGACUCCUACGGGAGGCAGCAGUGGGGGAUAUUGCACAGUGGCGGAAACCCUGAUGCAGCGACGCCGCGUGGAGGAAGAAGGUUUUCGGAAUGUAAACUCCGGUCGUAAGGGACGAUAAUGACGGUACCUAAAGAGAAAGCACCGGCUAACUACGUG
rnacentral:rRNA from 1 species